GUCCACGCCCUAAACGAUGGCAACUGGGUGUCGGGGAAGCGAUUCCUUGGUACCGUAGCUAACGCGUGAAGUUGCCCGCCUGGGGAGUACGGCCGCAAGGUUAAAACUCAAAGGAAUUGACGGGGACCCGCACAAGCGGUGGAUGAUGUGGAUUAAUUCGAUGCAACGCGAACAACCUUACCUACCCUUGACAUGUCUGGAAGCCUGGUGAGAGCUGGGGUGUGCCCGAAAGGGAACCGGAACACAGGUGCUGCAUGGCUGUCGU
rnacentral:rRNA from 1 species